AAUAUUGGUCAAUGGACGAAAGUCUGAACCAGCCAUGCCGCGUGGAGGAUGAAGGUCCUCUGGAUUGUAAACUUCUUUUAUAUGGGACGAAAAAAGGCUUUUCUAAGUCGUCUGACGGUACCAUAUGAAUAAGCACCGGCUAACUCCGUGCCAGCCGCCGCGGUAAUACGGAGGGGGCGAGCGUUAUCCGGAUUCACUGGGCGUAAAGGGCGCGCAGGCGGUUACGUAAGUCCGGCGUGAAAUCCCACGGCUUAACUGUGGAACUGCGUCGGAUACUGCGUUGACUUGAGGAUGGUAGAGGCCAUUAGAACUAGCGGUGUAGCGGUGAAAUGCGCAGAUAUCGCUAGGAAUGCCGGUGGCGAAGGCGGAUGGCUGGGCCAAUCCUGACGCUGAGGCGCGAAAGCUAGGGGAGCGAAC
rnacentral:rRNA from 1 species